rnacentral:tRNA from 1 species
GUCCUUGUAGCUUAAACAAAGCAUAACACUGAAGAUGUUAAGACGGCUGCCAAACACACCCAAGGACA